rnacentral:rRNA from 1 species
UACGGGAGGCAGCAGUAGGGAAUUUUCGGCAAUGGGCGCAAGCCUGACCGAGCAACGCCGCGUGAGUGAAGACGGCCUUCGGGUUGUAAAGCUCUGUUGUAAGGGAAGAACACUGGGGAGAGAAUCCACAGCUGACGGUACCUUACCAGAAAGCCACGGCUAACUACGUGCCAGCAGCCGCGGUAAU